rnacentral:lncRNA from 1 species
ACAAACUUGCACUGAAUCAAAGUCACCCUUGAGUCUCCAAAACAGUCCAUAUGGAAAGUUCUCGCUUGGUGCAGAGCUGAGUUCAAUUCCUGGGUAUCCUUGUUGACCUUCUGUCUCGUUGAUCUGUCUAAUGUUGACAGUGGGGUGUUAAAGUNNNNNNNNNNAGUGCUGGGAUUACAGGUGUGAACCACUGCGUCCGGCCAACACAACUAUUUUCUAAAGAAAGUUGUGCCCUGUACAACAGCAGCAACAGAAAGCUUAUUAGUGGAAUGGUGAUAAUCACAGCUAACGAUUACAUACAUCCUUCAUGUCAUGACCUGGGUACACUGCUCACCCAGUGGAGUAGGUUACCGUCAUGAGCUCCAAAUUACAGGUGAGGAAACUGAGGCACAGAGAAGUACAAGCACUUGCCUAGGGUAGCAGAGUUAGGGAGUGGAGAGAUGGAAUUCAGACCCCGGUUGGUCUGAGUCUAGAGUCUAUGUGCAACCCUACCUGGCGGCUUUCACGUAUGG